AGGAGGCCGAGGACUUCUGCCAAGAAUGGAAUGGUCACCUGACCAGCGUCCUCUCAUGGGACGAGCGCCAAUUCUUGGCUGCUCACGCGCCAUAUGUAGAAGGUUUGCAAUCUUGGGUGGGACUCAAGAAGAACAAGGGCAACUUUGAGUGGAGCGACUCAACACCUGCAAACAACAUCGCGUGGGUCCCAAAUGGGCCGGCAGGACGUGGUGACUGCUGUGUGCUGUCGCUGACUGGACAACUUGAAGACUGGCCCUGCACCAAUAUUCGGCCAUUCAUCUGUA